UUAAGCGACUAAGCGUACACGGUGGAUGCCCUGGCAGUCAGAGGCGAUGAAGGACGUGCUAAUCUGCGAUAAGCGUCGGUAAGGUGAUAUGAACCGUUAUAACCGGCGAUUUCCGAAUGGGGAAACCCAGUGUGUUUCGACACACUAUCAUUAACUGAAUCCAUAGGUUAAUGAGGCGAACCGGGGGAACUGAAACAUCUAAGUACCCCGAGGAAAAGAAAUCAACCGAGAUUCCCCCAGUAGCGGCGAGCGAACGGGGAGGAGCCCAGAGCCUGAAUCAGUGUGUGUGUUAGUGGAAGCGUCUGGAAAGGCGCGCGAUACAGGGUGACAGCCCCGUACACAAAAAUGCACAUGCUGUGAGCUCGAUGAGUAGGGCGGGACACGUGGUAUCCUGUCUGAAUAUGGGGGGACCAUCCUCCAAGGCUAAAUACUCCUGACUGACCGAUAGUGAACCAGUACCGUGAGGGAAAGGCGAAAAGAACCCCGGCGAGGGGAGUGAAAAAGAACCUGAAACCGUGUACGUACAAGCAGUGGGAGCACGCUUAGGCGUGUGACUGCGUACCUUUUGUAUAAUGGGUCAGCGACUUAUAUUCUGUAGCAAGGUUAACCGAAUAGGGGAGCCGAAGGGAAACCGAGUCUUAACUGGGCGUUAAGUUGCAGGGUAUAGACCCGAAACCCGGUGAUCUAGCCAUGGGCAGGUUGAAGGUUGGGUAACACUAACUGGAGGACCGAACCGACUAAUGUUGAAAAAUUAGCGGAUGACUUGUGGCUGGGGGUGAAAGGCCAAUCAAACCGGGAGAUAGCUGGUUCUCCCCGAAAGCUAUUUAGGUAGCGCCUCGUGAAUUCAUCUCCGGGGGUAGAGCACUGUUUCGGCAAGGGGGUCAUCCCGACUUACCAACCCGAUGCAAACUGCGAAUACCGGAGAAUGUUAUCACGGGAGACACACGGCGGGUGCUAACGUCCGUCGUGAAGAGGGAAACAACCCAGACCGCCAGCUAAGGUCCCAAAGUCAUGGUUAAGUGGGAAACGAUGUGGGAAGGCCCAGACAGCCAGGAUGUUGGCUUAGAAGCAGCCAUCAUUUAAAGAAAGCGUAAUAGCUCACUGGUCGAGUCGGCCUGCGCGGAAGAUGUAACGGGGCUAAACCAUGCACCGAAGCUGCGGCAGCGACACUAUGUGUUGUUGGGUAGGGGAGCGUUCUGUAAGCCUGCGAAGGUGUGCUGUGAGGCAUGCUGGAGGUAUCAGAAGUGCGAAUGCUGACAUAAGUAACGAUAAAGCGGGUGAAAAGCCCGCUCGCCGGAAGACCAAGGGUUCCUGUCCAACGUUAAUCGGGGCAGGGUGAGUCGACCCCUAAGGCGAGGCCGAAAGGCGUAGUCGAUGGGAAACAGGUUAAUAUUCCUGUACUUGGUGUUACUGCGAAGGGGGGACGGAGAAGGCUAUGUUGGCCGGGCGACGGUUGUCCCGGUUUAAGCGUGUAGGCUGGUUUUCCAGGCAAAUCCGGAAAAUCAAGGCUGAGGCGUGAUGACGAGGCACUACGGUGCUGAAGCAACAAAUGCCCUGCUUCCAGGAAAAGCCUCUAAGCAUCAGGUAACAUCAAAUCGUACCCCAAACCGACACAGGUGGUCAGGUAGAGAAUACCAAGGCGCUUGAGAGAACUCGGGUGAAGGAACUAGGCAAAAUGGUGCCGUAACUUCGGGAGAAGGCACGCUGAUAUGUAGGUGAAGUCCCUCGCGGAUGGAGCUGAAAUCAGUCGAAGAUACCAGCUGGCUGCAACUGUUUAUUAAAAACACAGCACUGUGCAAACACGAAAGUGGACGUAUACGGUGUGACGCCUGCCCGGUGCCGGAAGGUUAAUUGAUGGGGUCAGCGCAAGCGAAGCUCUUGAUCGAAGCCCCGGUAAACGGCGGCCGUAACUAUAACGGUCCUAAGGUAGCGAAAUUCCUUGUCGGGUAAGUUCCGACCUGCACGAAUGGCGUAAUGAUGGCCAGGCUGUCUCCACCCGAGACUCAGUGAAAUUGAACUCGCUGUGAAGAUGCAGUGUACCCGCGGCAAGACGGAAAGACCCCGUGAACCUUUACUAUAGCUUGACACUGAACAUUGAGCCUUGAUGUGUAGGAUAGGUGGGAGGCUUUGAAGUGUGGACGCCAGUCUGCAUGGAGCCGACCUUGAAAUACCACCCUUUAAUGUUUGAUGUUCUAACGUUGACCCGUGAUCCGGGUUGCGGACAGUGUCUGGUGGGUAGUUUGACUGGGGCGGUCUCCUCCUAAAGAGUAACGGAGGAGCACGAAGGUUGGCUAAUCCUGGUCGGACAUCAGGAGGUUAGUGCAAUGGCAUAAGCCAGCUUGACUGCGAGCGUGACGGCGCGAGCAGGUGCGAAAGCAGGUCAUAGUGAUCCGGUGGUUCUGAAUGGAAGGGCCAUCGCUCAACGGAUAAAAGGUACUCCGGGGAUAACAGGCUGAUACCGCCCAAGAGUUCAUAUCGACGGCGGUGUUUGGCACCUCGAUGUCGGCUCAUCACAUCCUGGGGCUGAAGUAGGUCCCAAGGGUAUGGCUGUUCGCCAUUUAAAGUGGUACGCGAGCUGGGUUUAGAACGUCGUGAGACAGUUCGGUCCCUAUCUGCCGUGGGCGCUGGAGAACUGAGGGGGGCUGCUCCUAGUACGAGAGGACCGGAGUGGACGCAUCACUGGUGUUCGGGUUGUCAUGCCAAUGGCACUGCCCGGUAGCUAAAUGCGGAAGAGAUAAGUGCUGAAAGCAUCUAAGCACGAAACUUGCCCCGAGAUGAGUUCUCCCUGACUCCUUGAGAGUCCUGAAGGAACGUUGAAGACGACGACGUUGAUAGGCCGGGUGUGUAAGCGCAGCGAUGCGUUGAGCUAACCGGUACUAAUGAACCGUGAGGCUUAACCU
rnacentral:rRNA from 1 species